CACGUGAGGGGCGAGCGUUGUCCGGAUUUAUUGGGCGUAAAGAGCUCGUAGGCGGCUUGUCGCGUCGGACUGUGAAAUCCCGCGGCUCAACUGCGGGUCUGCAGUCGAUACGGGCAGGCUAGAGUUCGGUAGGGGAGACUGGAAAUUCCUGGUGUAGCGGUGGAAAUGCGCAGAUAUCAGGAGGAACACCGGUGGCGAAGGCGGGUCUCUGGGCCGAUACUGACGCUGAGGAGCGAAAGCGUGGGGAGCGAACAGG
rnacentral:rRNA from 1 species